ACAAAAAUGCACAUACUGUGAGCUCGAUGAGUAGGGCGGGACACGUGGUAUCCUGUCUGAAUAUGGGGGGACCAUCCUCCAAGGCUAAAUACUCCUGACUGACCGAUAGUGAACCAGUACCGUGAGGGAAAGGCGAAAAGAACCCCGGCGAGGGGAGUGAAAAAGAACCUGAAACCGUGUACGUACAAGCAGUGGGAGCACGCUUAGGCGUGUGACUGCGUACCUUUUGUAUAAUGGGUCAGCGACUUAUAUUCUGUAGCAAGGUUAACCGAAUAGGGGAGCCGAAGGGAAACCGAGUCUUAACUGGGCGUUAAGUUGCAGGGUAUAGACCCGAAACCCGGUGAUCUAGCCAUGGGCAGGUUGAAGGUUGGGUAACACUAACUGGAGGACCGAACCGACUAAUGUUGAAAAAUUAGCGGAUGACUUGUGGCUGGGGGUGAAAGGCCAAUCAAACCGGGAGAUAGCUGGUUCUCCCCGAAAGCUAUUUAGGUAGCGCCUCGUGAAUUCAUCUCCGGGGGUAGAGCACUGUUUCGGCAAGGGGGUCAUCCCGACUUACCAACCCGAUGCAAACUGCGAAUACCGGAGAAUGUUAUCACGGGAGACACACGGCGGGUGCUAACGUCCGUCGUGAAGAGGGAAACAACCCAGACCGCCAGCUAAGGUCCCAAAGUCAUGGUUAAGUGGGAAACGAUGUGGGAAGGCCCAGACAGCCAGGAUGUUGGCUUAGAAGCAGCCAUCAUUUAAAGAAAGCGUAAUAGCUCACUGGUCGAGUCGGCCUGCGCGGAAGAUGUAACGGGGCUAAACCAUGCACCGAAGCUGCGGCAGCGACGCUUAUGCGUUGUUGGGUAGGGGAGCGUUCUGUAAGCCUGCGAAGGUGUGCUGUGAGGCAUGCUGGAGGUAUCAGAAGUGCGAAUGCUGACAUAAGUAACGAUAAAGCGGGUGAAAAGCCCGCUCGCCGGAAGACCAAGGGUUCCUGUCCAACGUUAAUCGGGGCAGGGUGAGUCGACCCCUAAGGCGAGGCCGAAAGGCGUAGUCGAUGGGAAACAGGUUAAUAUUCCUGUACUUGGUGUUACUGCGAAGGGGGGACGGAGAAGGCUAUGUUGGCCGGGCGACGGUUGUCCCGGUUUAAGCGUGUAGGCUGGUUUUCCAGGCAAAUCCGGAA
rnacentral:rRNA from 1 species